ACUCGCUUUAGGUAUAAGUAUAACUUAUCUUUUAAUUAUAAUUUUACCUUUGAAUAAAGGUAUAAUAGAAUUUAUUGAGAGUAAUUUUUCCUUUCUAACUAAAAUAUCUUGUGUAUCAUUUCGAAGCUGACAAAAACUAACGUUUCAUUGUGCCACCUUUGUUUUUCUUGAUUUAAUUUAAAAUAUUUGGUCAUUAUCUCGUAACAACGUACAUAAUCAAGCUAUAUUAGAUCACAAUAGAGACUAAUAGAAAACGUGGGAUUAUUUUUAAAAAAUUCGUUUCGUUUCAAAAUCCAAACUAUCAAAAUCUAUCCUGUGCACUUCGCGGACAAUUCAACCGGACAUCGAACAACCGACACGUUUUCGAGGAACACUCGACUCACCCUUAUCGAUCUUAAGCGAAACGUAAGAUAGAGUUACCGCCUCGGUAACCCCUAUUUUCGGCCUUAUGAUCGUUUCCACUUCGUAGCGAUGGUUUAAUGCCGUCUAGACCGGAUGGGUCGCGAGUAUAUUCAUCAAGUGAAAUCGCCUAUUACGUCCCUCUAAAUCGGUAUGCGUUUAGGAGAAACCUGGCUGCAGGACAACGUCUCGAACGCGAGAAAAAGAGGCGAAGAACCGAUAGGAAAUAGAAAAAGAGACAGUGGAACAGGAGUAGAUAAAUAGGAGGGGACACGAAAGGUUCGGAGAAAGCUUGGCAAAGAUUCAAACAGUGAUUGCAAGGGCCUGCCUGUCUCAGCGAAGCGCGUCCGGAAUAUUUCCCCUUUUCUCUGUGUCUGGACCUUUGUUCAUCUCGCCAACUUUCUCUCUUUCUCCCUUCUUCCCGAUCUUAUUUAUCCCCUUCUUAUUUCUCGUGAAGGCGCCCUUUUUUCCCGCCGCGUGCCCAAGUCCAGUUCGUGCUCCUUUUUCACGAUUGAGGUGGAGAAGGACUCGACCGUAUUGACAGAAAUGCGGUGAAAUAUUCGGUGACGACUUAUAUCGCGAAAAAAGCGCGAACGUGGCGAUAUCCUCGUAUAUUAGGAUUUUGGAAUCUUAGCCUCGUAAUAAGAGAGGAAGGAAGCACCGGACGAUUUUAAGCGAAUUUGUGGCUAGUGGUUGCAGAACUAUGAUGUCCGGGGGAGAUAUAAACCUCUUGAAGCCAGAGUAAUAUGUACCGUGAUUCCAAAUUGAUGGUAUUUCUUCGACCUCGUUAAGAGAAAACGAUAAAUGUGACGAUAUAAGAAGUGUUCGAAGCUUUUAGUGGUGUUUGGAAGAUAUUAGGGAAAGCCUUGUUGUUGAUGAGUUUCCAGUACUUGUUGCGAAUACGAGUGAGCACAUUUAAAAGUGCGACGAUGUUGUUGAAUGAUAAAUACGGUAAGUAGUAGUAGGAUUCUGUAUUCUGUAGUAGUAGUAUUCUGCAAACAUUAACUUGAACAUGAAAUCAAUAAAAUUGAUUUUUUGAUACCAGUUUGACAUAUAUACCAAGAGUACAAUUAUUUGUAAUAAUUGCCGCCACUUUGGAUUUCGUUAAUUUUUUAGUAUGCUGUCGGGAGUAUGAUUCUGAACAACUUUUAUCUAUACAUGUAACCGCCACUUGGCCUUAGUUUCCAAAUAUGUGCGAGAAAUCAUCGGUAUCACUACACUGAGUUCUUCCUAUAAUUGUGUUUCCGUGACAAGGUAUGCGUUAGUAUUGGUUGGCAGCCACCUCACGGCGGCGACCGGAUAAGAUAACGCCUAACCCAAACCUAAUUCUUAUCUUUUGUUUAUAGUUUAUAUAGGUUUGGGUUUGGUGUCAUUUAUUCGGCCGUCGUAAGAGAACCAAUAUUAACGUAUACGCUGUCACGGACGCGCGAUUAAGCAGAAAAUUCACUGCAAUUGGUACCGACAGUUUUCCUGGAAAUAUCUCCAAAUCUAAAAGAAUCCGGUAACAUACAAAGAAAAUAGUCGUUCAAAGUAUUGAUUUCUACGACAUAUUAAAGAAAUCAAAGAGAUCCAAGAUGGUACCGACUUUCUGAAUAAUUACCGUGCAUUUUAUUAGCGCUAGGUUUACAGAUACGCGUCAAUUUGACGUAAUCGAAAUGUCCAUACACCUAGGGUUAAAAUAAUACGUAUUUUAUUCGCUUUGUAUUUUUCUCUGCUUACUUUUAUAACUUUGUUGAAAUACAUUGCCGUUGAAUAUUUCUUCUUGUUUCACUUGGUUCUAUACAAUAUCUUUCCAUCAAAUGACCCCAGCGGAGCCUUGCCUCACAGACAAGGAGUAGAAAAGGGAUGGGGGGUACAUACGUAUGUGUACGUAUAUACUUUGGUUUCUGUCCACGAAGCCUCGUGUCACUUACAAAGAUGUCGAGUAAUGCAAAGGAAAAUUCUAUACAAUCAUAUUGGACAUAGAAGAAAAACGAGAGAAUUUUUAUACUUGCGAAAAUAUUGUUGAAAUGUUUGUCUUUACUUCUAUGGAACUUUUUAAAGUAAAAUAAAGAAAUGAUGAAAAGUCCGACUUCUAUCGUAGGUCUACGAGCGUCACCGCAUACGUUAUGCUACUUAUGCAUACAUUAUGCAUACGUUAUUAUACUGUUACGUUACAUAACAUUACAACACUUGUCGUAACGGCAGUUACUUCAACGCGCGUGUGAUUGCACAAUGCACAGAAAUCAAAAACUUAAUCGCGUGGUUAUCUUACGUUCGUCACUGGAGAUAUACAUAUGGAAGGCAAAAUUAUUUUAAAAUAUUUUCUCUACGAAUGCCCUUAAAAUCUGGCAUUCGCUAUCUCGAUAUCUAAAGUUAUCGCACAAACUCGCAAAAGUACUUAUUCGAAUACUUAUGGAAGAUACUUUAUGUACGAGCGUUGAUGAAUUUUGCUAUUCAUACAGCAAAUUGAACGAAAAGAUGAAAACGAAGAGGGAAUACAUGGCGAAGAUAAAGUUUCCUUUCACGUUAAUGAAUUUGCGAGGCUGUAUUUAACGAACGAGAAAAAUGUUUGGAUGAAUGGAUAAUGAAUGAGCUUCGCUUGUGUUGCAAGCACGGUAUGUGAAAUAACGUUUAUUGAAAUUGUCCGAGACGGGCGAGGGAAUUUUUAUUAAUAUGAAAGAAUUCCUCGGAUACUUGUACAUCGAGUGUAAUUACUGAGAAGAAUAAAGGAUACUUGAGUAUCGUGAA